CAGCAGCCACGGUAAUACGUAGGUGGCAAGCGUUGUCCGGAAUUAUUAGGCGUAAAGGGCUCGCAGGCGGUUUCUUAAGUCUGAUGUGAAAGCCCCCGGCUCAACCUGGGAGGGUCAUUGGAAACUGGGAAACUUGAGUGCAGAAGAGGAGAGUGGAAUUCCACGUGUAGCGGUAAAAUGCGUAGGGAUGUGGAGGAACACCAGUGGCGAAGGCGACUCUCUGGUCUGUAACUGACGCUGAGGAGCGAAAGCGUGGGGAGCGAACAGGAUUAGAUACCCGUGUAGUCCCUGUCUCUUAUAC
rnacentral:rRNA from 1 species